CCUGCAGUGGAAGCAAAACUGCCUUAAACCACUCCGCGUCGGAAAUCCAUGUAUAGCGCUUGCUGCCGUCCCUCCGUGCAGCGGGAUAACCGGCUGGCGAGUGCCUGUGCGCCUAAGGCAGGGAGAAGCAAGCUCAUCUCGGCGCUUUAUGCCUCAGCAGUCCAAAAAGAAACAACAACAGAAACUGUUGCCUGUAAAAGGCAGCUGCUUCUUUACCUCUUCUCCACCCCUCCCCCGACUGCCGGGGCUGGGGAGCGGCUCUUCAGGGAGCAGAGAGAGAAGGAGGAGGGUGGAAGGGGACUUUGUAAAGUGCUCGAGCAUCGGGGACAGAAGUUUCCAGGGCUGAGCUUUCUGCCUGGGACCUCGCUCCGUCUGCGGCAGGCGAUUGCUUUGGCAAAGGAGCCGAGCUGCCGGAGGAGGAGGAGCAUCAUGUCGGAGGUGCUGGUCACCCACUGCUCACCCAGCCUCGAUGGACAUCAGCGGGUCAGAAGGUGAAAGGACUCCCCAUGCAAUGGCCAUGGAUCCCACACAUCAGCCUUGCAGGGUUGUGGUGGCAAGAGGAACAAGUUUUCCCACCCAAAACACUGAUCAAGACCUGUGAUGGGCUUUGCCAGGCUGCAGCAUGAAGCAUCUCUCUGCAUUAGACAUAUUUGUUGAUAUUUAAUCCACCAAUAAAAGCAGUGCAUGACCAAAUUGAAUAUUUAAUUUAAUAUACACUAACCGGGAGCUGGUUGGCAUUGCACCCAAUGGAAAAUGUUUGCUGCCCUCUCUCUCUCUCUUUUUAGCAGAUUUUUCAUGAAAAGUUGUUGAUUUUUUUUUCUUGUAAUUUAUUCAUUUUUUUUUUUCCUUUAGGUAAUAACAAUAUGAUUUGAAAAUGACAAUUUUCAUUUACCAACUCAGGAUUUUAAUGAACAAGCUGUUUGAAUAACCAUUUGGACAACUAUUGAAAAAAAAAAGGGAAAGAAGAAUGCAUUUGAAAUCCUCAAAAUAGCUCCCCCCUCCACCAACUACAGUAAUUUGCAGAAGAGUAGUUCCUUCAUUUUUUUCCCCCAGCAUACUAGAUGAAACAUUUGAGAGUGUUUGAAGCUGGCAAGAACUGCAUUUCUAGCUACUGAUGUCAUGAAAAUAUAAAUUGGCAGAUUUUUCACGCUGGGUCAAUGUGUAGCGAUAAGCACAAUGCCAUACCUUUAGGAGCAGUAUUUGUUGGUAAACAGAUGGGGAGCAGCCUGUAAUGUCCAUAGUCAAUAAUAAACAGCCAAUGUUCAGUGCCGG